AUGGAAACUAAGGGGUGCUUGCCUGUUUGGGCUUGCUGAGAUUAUACCCAUUGACCUGAUACGGAUAAUGCCGGCGUAGGAAGAUACCCCCUUAUACUU
rnacentral:ncRNA from 1 species